CCUGGUGGUUUUCAUUCUUGACAUUCUCCAUCCUUGAAGCUGACAAAGGGAAAUGUCUCUCUUCUUGGCCUUAAGCUUUAUUUUACUUUGCAAAAGCAUCAGGUGUAACCAAGUGAUCCAGAGUCCCCCAGUUCAGGAGGUGGCAUUGGGCAGGGAAGUGACUCUUUUCUGUGAAUAUAAGACUAAUCAUGGAAACCCAGACUUAUAUUGGUACCGAGUAAAGCCAGAUUCUUCCAUCCAGUUUGUCUUGUACAGGGAUAAUAGCAGGUUUGUAAAUGCACCUUUUGCCAAAGAUCGAUUUUCUGUGCAACGUAAGACCCGGACUACAUUCAACUUGGUGAUCUCUGAGGUGGAGCCUGGAGAUGGUGGUCUUUAUUACUGUGCCUUGGACACAGAGGCACAGGUGUUCUGGGGAGCUUUACACAAACCCCUGCUGGCCCUGAUCAGAACUCUAAGGGGAAUCCCCUGUCACUCAGUGGGAAGCUCAGACCUACUGUGAAUGAGGGGAACUCAGUAACUCAAAGGAAGUGGCAUCAAGUGCAGACCACUCAUUUUGCAGAUGAGGAAACAGAACCAGACAGAUUGUAUGAUUUGCCCAAAGUCAUAUAGUUGGAAGCCCUGGGUUUUGGAACAUAGGUUUUCUGACUCCAAUUCUAAUGCUCUUGAAUUAUAACUCCUACUUUUCUAAAUGAGAUAACUGAGACCUGGAAAAGUCAGACUAUUAACCCAAGGCCACACAAAUAUAAGAAGAAAAGACAGAUCUUCUGAUUCCUCCUAGUCCAGUGCUUUCCCACCAUGAUUUUACCUAGACAAAAGAGUUCAUUUGACAUCUUUUAGUCUCUUUUCAUUUCAGUCCCAUUGGUAUUUCCCCUACUUUCCUGUGUUGGGAAUUAAGAUGUAUUUUAAAAAAAUGAAAUGAGAGUAUCUGGGUGGCACAGUGGAGAGAGUGCCAGGU